rnacentral:rRNA from 1 species
UAGGGAAUAUUGGUCAAUGGGUGAGAGCCUGAACCAGCCAUGCCGCGUGCAGGAAGACGGCCUUCUGGGUUGUAAACUGCUUUUACCGGGGGAUAAAAUUCCCAUGCGUGGGACAUUGUAGGUACCCGGUGAAUAAGCCACGGCUAACUACGUGCCAGCAGCCGCGGUAAUACGUAGGUGGCAAGCGUUGUCCGGAUUUAUUGGGUUUAAAGGGUGCGUAGGCGGCCAAUUAAGUCAGUGCUGAAAUAUCCCGGCUUAACCGGGAGGGUGGCAUUGAUACUGGUUGGCUUGAGUGGAGUCGAAGUAGGCGGAAUUGACGGUGUAGCGGUGAAAUGCUUAGAUAUCGUCAAGAACACCGAUAGUGUAGACAGUUUACUAGGCUUUAACUGACGCUGAGGCACGAAAGUGUGGGGAUCAAA